UUUUAUCUGUACCAUUACCGUAAAUUAUUAUUGCUUUGCCCGUGGCUACGUAAUUGAAUCACUAUAAAUAUCUGAUCAAACCAGAAACAACAACUCGAUCAAGCUCAACUAAAGUUUUGAUUUCGCUUCAUUCACCGUAAGCUAGCAGAGAUUUUCCCCUUUCUACUUUGAAGAAUAUGGAAACUAUUUGCGCAGGUUUGUAGCCCAUGUUCAAUUGAACAUCAUUCAUAAUUCUUAUUUUAAUAUAUGCAUUUAUUAUUAUUUUAACAUAUGCAUUUAUAAAUAUAUUUUUUAAUAUUAAAUUUUCAGGUAAGAACGAAUGGUCAGAGAGUGAGUACUCACAUUUUAGUAGCAUUGCUGAUGAUGAGGAUGUGAAAAAUGACAAUCUUAAUCUUCUUAUUGUCCCGCAAUAUGGAAGAAAUCCUGACUCUACUGGUUAAAUACAUAUAAUAUUAUUCUUUUAUGUUUAAUUAAAUAAAAGGACGGAUAUUACUAUUACCUGUCAAUCAUGUGAGUGUCGUUUUGGUUCAGUUCAACUAUUAAGAUUUCUUGAGAUGUUCAAGAAAUUAUCUUUGUUAGUGUCCAUGUACUAAGUCUUUCUUAAUAAAUAAAAUUAUUCCGUGUCAAUGUGUUAUUUA
rnacentral:lncRNA from 1 species